rnacentral:rRNA from 1 species
CCUACGGGAGGCAGCAGUGGGGAAUCUUGCGCAAUGGGCGAAAGCCUGACGCAGCAACGCCGUGUGGAGGAUGAAGGUCUUCGGAUUGUAAACUCCUUUCAGCAGGGACGAAGCCGCAAGGUGACGGUACCUGCAGAAGAAGCCCCGGCUAACUACGUGCCAGCAGCCGCGGUAAUACGUAGGGGGCCAGCGUUGUCCGGAUUUAUUGGGCGUAAAGCGCACGUAGGCGGCUUGCCAAGUCAGGUGUGAAAUGUCUCGGCUUAACCGAGGAUCUGCACUUGAAACUGGCUCGCUAGAGUGCAGGAGAGGGAAGUGGAAUUCCUAGUGUAGCGGUGAAAUGCGCAGAUAUUAGGAAGAACACCGGUGGCGAAGGCGGCUUCCUGGACUGCAACUGACGCUGAGGUGCGAAAGCUAGGGGAGCGAACAGGAUUAGAUCCCCUGGUAGU